UGGGGAAUAUUGGACAAUGGGCGCAAGCCUGAUCCAGCCAUGCCGCGUGAGUGAUGAAGGCCCUAGGGUUGUAAAGCUCUUUCACCGGUGAAGAUAAUGACGGUAACCGGAGAAGAAGCCCCGGCUAACUUCGUGCCAGCAGCCGCGGUAAUACGAAGGGGGCUAGCGUUGUUCGGAUUUACUGGGCGUAAAGCGCACGUAGGCGGACUAUUAAGUCAGGGGUGAAAUCCCGGGGCUCAACCCCGGAACUGCCUUUGAUACUGGUAGUCUUGAGUUCGAGGGAGGUGAGUGGAAAUCCGAGUGUAGAGGUGAAAGUCGGAGAUAUUCGGGGGAACACCAGUGGCGAAGGCGGCUCACUUGCUCGAUACUGACGCUGGGGUGCGAAAGCGUGGGGGAGCAAACAGG
rnacentral:rRNA from 1 species